GGCCCCAUCGUCUAGUGGCCCAGGACAUUAGCUUCUCAGGCUAAAGACCGGGGUUCGAGUCCCCGUGGGGCUACCA
rnacentral:tRNA from 2 species